rnacentral:rRNA from 1 species
GACGUAGGAGGCGAGCGUUGUCCGGAUUUAUUGGGCGUAAAGAGCGUGUAGGCGGCUUUACAGGUCCGUUGUGAAAACUCGAGGCUCAACCUCGAGACGCCGGUGGAAACCGUAAAGCUAGAGUCCGGAAGAGGAGAGUGGAAUUCCUGGUGUAGCGGUGAAAUGCGCAGAUAUCAGGAAGAACACCCGUGGCGAAGGCGGCUCUCUGGGCCUGUACUGACGCUGAGGAGCGAAAGCGUGGGGAGCGAACAGG